rnacentral:rRNA from 1 species
GUAACCUGCCCUUAAGACCGGGAUAACUCACGGAAACGUGGGCUAAUACCGGAUAGGCGAUUUCCUCGCAUGAGGGAAUCGGGAAAGGCGGAGCAAUCUGCCACUUAUGGAUGGACCUACGGCGCAGUAGCUAGUUGGUGGGGUAACGGCUCACCAAGGCGACGAUGCGUAGCCGACCUGAGAGGGUGAUCGGCCACACUGGGACUGAGACACGGCCCAGACUCCUACGGGAGGCAGCAGUAGGGAAUCUUCCGCAAUGGACGCAAGUCUGACGGAGCAACGCCGCGUGAGUGAUGAAGGUUUUCGGAUCGUAAAGCUCUGUUGCCAGGGAAGAACGCUAUGGAGAGUAACUGUUCCAUAGGUGACGGUACCUGAGAAGAAAGCCCCGGCUAACUACGUGCCAGCAGCCGCGGUAAUACGUAGGGGGCAAGCGUUGUCCGGAAUUAUUGGGCGUAAAGCGCGCGCAGGCGGUCAUGUAAGUCUGGUGUUUAAACCCGGGGCUCAACUCCGGGUCGCAUCGGAAACUGUGUGACUUGAGUGCAGAAGAGGAAAGUGGAAUUCCACGUGUAGCGGUGAAAUGCGUAGAGAUGUGGAGGAACACCAGUGGCGAAGGCGACUUUCUGGGCUGUAACUGACGCUGAGGCGCGAAGCGUGGGGAGCAACAGGAUUAGAUACCCUGGUAGUCACGCCGUAACGAUGAAGCUAGUGUUAGGGGUUCGAUACCCUGGUGCCGAAUUACACAUUAACAUUCCCCUGGGGAGUACGUCGCAGACUGAACUCAAGGAUUGACGGGACCGCACAGCAUGGAGAUGUGGUUAAUU